GCUGAUCAAUGAUGAUGAUUUUUAUAUUGUGGACUGUUGGAUGAUGCUUGCGGAUAUGGGGCUGAGAUCAGUG